rnacentral:rRNA from 1 species
UUCCAGACUCCUACGGGAGGCAGCAGUGGGGGAUAUUGCACAAUGGGGGAAACCCUGAUGCAGCGACGCCGCGUGAGUGAAGAAGUAAUUCGUUACGUAAAGCUCUAUCAGCAGGGAAGAAAAUGACGGUACCUGACUAAGAAGCCCCGGCUAACUACGUGCCAGCAGCCGCGGUAAUACGUAGGGGGCAAGCGUUAUCCGGAUUUACUGGGUGUAAAGGGGGCGCAGACGGCAGCGCAAGCCAGGAGUGAAAGCCCGGGGCCCAACCCCGGGACUGCUCUUGGAACUGCGCGGCUGGAGUGCAGGAGGGGCAGGCGGAAUUCCUGGUGUAGCGGUGAAAUGCGUAGAUAUCAGGAGGAACACCGGUGGCGAAGGCGGCCUGCUGGACUGCGACUGACGUUGAGGCCCGAAAGCGUGGGGAGCAAACAGGAUUAGAUACCCGGGUAU